rnacentral:lncRNA from 10 species
GGGGUGGGAAGGGACAGAGCUGGAAAGAUUAGCCAUCCAGGCUGUAGCUGGAGGGUCUGGAAGGGCCAUAGCCCUGUGCCUGAGUCUAGUGCAACCCUGUCCCACAGCUUCCAGCAAUCAGUAAGUUUAGACUAAGGGCCAGAGACUUCUAUCUCAAGCUCUUGGCUUUCCAGGUCACAUGGACUUCUCAUGUCCACUGUACCACUGGGUCUUUUUUAUACCAAACCAGUGUGGGGUUGAGGAAAACUAAGAACCAGAAUUGUUGGGCUUGAGCUGAGUAGAUGAUAGCACAAAAUCCUGAAUUAACUACUGGUAAAGCCUAUAGAAUUCACUUCAGUGGAAUACACUUUGAUAUCCUGUCUCUCUUUCCAUGAAUGUUGAGUACCUACAGUAUGCCAGGUACUGGAUAUACAGUGAUAAACAAAAUGAGAGACAGUCUGUUCCAGACUUUGUAUGAAUAAUAGGGCAGAGAGCAGACAUUUGUGCCUUGGAGGAGCUUAUAUGGGCAAGAUGGGAGCAAGCUGGCAACAUGGUGUGAUAAGUGCUAUAUAAUAGUUGUAGCAGCACAGAAGAGAGGCUAUUGACCCAGUAUGGGAGCUCAGGGAAGUUUCCCAGGGAAGGUGAAGCCUGAGCUGAAUCUCCAUGGAUUAGGGGAUGUUUAUCAGGCAAAGAAGGGUAAACAGGCAGGGAACAGCAUGAAGAAAGGUAUAGAGGUACAGAACAGCCAGGGAGUCUGGGGCGGGUUUGUGUGCCUGCACAAGUGCUUGCACGCACUGCACAAGGGGGACAGAGAGGAAAAGGAGGCAGGAAUCCAGUCAAAAGUCUCAAAUGUCAGGCUAAGGAUCUUGGGCUUUACCCUGUGUGUAAUGGGAAGGCACUGGAGUGUUUAAAGCAAAUGAUUCAAAUCUUUUAUUUCAGAAAGAUCACUCUUAAGUGUCAGUGUGGAAUAUGGAUUUUAGGGAGUGAGUUGGACCAAAUGACCAAUUUGGCUGUUUGAGUCAUCCAAGCAAGACAUGAGAGGGCCCUACAAUCAACAUAAUUUGGUUGACUGGAUGUAAAGGUAGAAGAAUAUUAAAGGGUGGUUGCCAGUUGUAUUAACUGGUAAGGAAUUACAGAAGAAGAAAUAGCAUUGGGAAUGUGAUGAGUUCAGGCUUAGCUUUGGUGUAUUUGAGGUUCCUGUACAAAAAGGUGGAGAAGUCAAGUAGGCAGUUGGAGAUGAAGGUCGGAAGCUCAGGAGACACAGACUUGAGAAUCAUUAGCAUAGAAGGCAUACAAGUUAGGGAAAGAGAUGAGAUUCCUCAGGGAGAGUGAGGGUAGGGAGGAAGGUCAGGGAGGAAGAAGAAUCCAUUAGAGAAGUUAAAUGAUCAGGGAAAAUCAGGAGAGGACAGUUUAAAGAUGUUCAGGGAGUAAAUAGUUUAUAGUAGUAAGUUCCAGGGAGGUAAGGACUGAAAAGUAAUUUUGGCAACUUAGAAGUCCCUGGUAACCUUGGUAAGGGCUGCUUCAGUGGAAUGGCAAGGGCCUGGAGGCAGAAGCCAGAUUGAAGUGAGUGAGUUCAAGAGUGAAUGGAGGCUGGUUUCAUGCCUGUAAUCCCAGCACUUUGGGAGGCCAAGACAGGAGGAUUGCUUGAGCCUAGGCGUUUGAGACCAGCCUGGGCAACAUCAUGAAACCCCGUCUCUACCAAAAAAAGAGUGAAUGGAUAUAAGCAGUUAGCAUAAACAACAUCCUCAGAAAGUUUGGCUGAGGAGGAGAGAGAAUAGGGAAUAGGAUUAUGUUAGAACCCCGGUGUAUGGAACACCCCAAAGCCUCACUCCCACUUUUUCAAAAUGAGGUCCAGUUCCCAUUGCUGCUAAGCCUUUGGUUCCCUAGUUCACCCCUGGGGAAGGAAGUAUUUAGUAUUUGCGGAAGCUAGCCAGCUUUCUUCACUCUCUUCUGCUCUCUACUGGAAGGACACCCUUUGCCCUUCCACCCCCACCUCUCCUCCUCCUCAGAUGCAGGUCAGGCAACAUCCACCAGAUGGCUCUCUGCCUUAAUCCUAGAGUGAGCAGGACCCACAAUUGGGGCCUGGGGUUGCAGGAGGGUACUGGAACGGCGUACCCCAGCUCAUGAAUUCCUAAUCCUGCUUCCCUCCCCAUACCUCCUUAGAACCCUGAAACAGAAUGACACAGAUGAAUCAAAAUUAAGGUCAAAAUAACCCCACAUGAACUAGUGCCCCAUGUGAUAAGGUAGCAGCUUGGGGAAUGCCACCAAGCAUGGGGUGGAGGCCAAGCUCAGAGGGAAUCACUGGUGGGACAGAGUUGCCUAAAACUUGAUGCUGGCUGGAGCUGCUCUUACCAAGGAUGGAGUGGUAUAUCCAGGCUGCCACAGGUUGCUGCUCCUCUCAGAUUCCACCAAUGCACUACACUGCCUAAGAAUCUGUAAAGUUCCUUGUUCAGAGUAGGCCAAAGCAGGUCUGGAAGCUGGACCACAAAUAUCAAUGCUUUGGGAACUGGGGAGCAUUUAGCUCCAGGAAGAUCUGGGAAACUAUGUUCCUGUUUUCCUCUCUCUGAAAGGCUGCCAUGUAGCUCUUGCCAUGUGUCAGAAUACAAGUUAGUUUGAUUGAACUUCCCUGUGUCAUCCCUCAACCACCAACUGGAAGGUGUUGGUAGGUGUAUAUGGUGGGGGACUUCCUUAACACUCUAGGUUUGUGAAAAGUUAGAGGAACUGGGUUGAUGGUAGCACAGAUUAGAUGCCUUCCAAAGGCACUGCCGUUUCAGAUUCUGUAAUAUUUAUUCAUUCACCAAAUAGUGUGCCAGGUACCCCCAAACUCUAUUGUAUCCCUUAACCCCAGCUGUAAAUAAGUGUUUCAGAAGCUCUGGGGAAUCUGAAGGGACUCUGACCUUUUGGGCCUUUGAUGUGCCUCACAUACCUAGCAAGGAGCACAAUACCUGGCAUAUACAUAUGACGCACACACACACACACAUAUAUAAAUGCUUUUAGUAAGUGCUCAGUAAAUAUUGAACGGUUGAAUGAAGGAUGGGCCAUCUGUACCAUUUACGUUUUGUGAUGUAGAGUUACCCUUGGUACUGCUUGUCUCUCUCCCAAUUCUGAGGACUCCAUAGAGGGCAGAGCUACACCUCCUCCAUCAGAGUUAGAAAUUCCCAUGAUAGGUAGGAGGUAUACUUCCUUCCCACCUCUGUCAUUGCACCUGUCUUAGAGAUAGUUACUAUUGCAGCUAAAACCCCUUGUGAAACAUGGAUUACAUCAGAAGUGAUGCAGUGCACAAUAAAGAUCACAGCAGGUGGCUGUGUGCUCGUGAGAGAACAAACGUGAGUUACCACUGUGGCUGAUGAUAACCCAAGUAGACCCUAAACCCAAUCUAAGACUGGUGCUAUUUGCCAGCUUCCCGAGCUUAAAGGCAGUGGCUACCAGUUGCCUGAGAGAAGACUAAAGCCAAAUAAUAGUUCUGAGAUAGUGGAUGUUAACGUG